CAUCCCUGCAUGGCUUCUUUCCCAUUACAAUAGUCUUCGCUGCCUUGCUUCAUUUUUCCGAUGCUGGGAAUCGAAUCCCAGGCUUUUUGCUUCCUAAGCAAGCGUUCUAACGCGGAGCCACAUCUUCAGUCCUUAUUUUGAUCUGAACCCCCGAUUUUCCUUUGAAAUUAUCUAUACAGUAGGAAGCAUGCUCAUACUGAAUAAGACAGCUGGAGUUUUUUCCAAACCAUCAAAAAGCAAAGUUUAUGGAUUUUUAAGAACUUUUAAUUUUCAUCCUGAACCACAAUUUCUUCAUAAACUGGUACUGGGAAUUGAAACUAGCUGUGAUGAUACAGCAGCUGCUGUGGUGGAUGAAACUGGAAAAGUCUUAGGAGAAGCAAUACAUUCCCAGACUGAAGUUCAUUUAAAAACAGGUGGGAUUAUCCCUCCAGUAGCUCAACAGCUUCACAGAGAAAAUAUUGAACGGAUAGUACAAGAAGCUCUUUCUGCCAGUAGAAUCUCUCCAAGGGAACUCUCAGCGAUUGCAACCACCAUAAAACCAGGACUUGCUUUAAGCUUAGGAGUAGGCUUAUCAUUUAGUGUACAGCUGGUAAAACAGUUCAAAAAACCGUUCAUUCCCAUUCAUCAUAUGGAGGCUCAUGCACUUACAAUUAGAUUGACUAACAAAGUAGAGUUUCCUUUUCUAGUUCUUUUGAUUUCUGGAGGUCACUGUCUGUUGGCAUUAGUCCGUGGAGUUUCAGAUUUUCUGCUUCUUGGAAAGUCUCUGGACAUAGCACCUGGUGACAUGCUUGACAAGGUAGCAAGGAGACUUUCUUUAAUCAGACAUCCAGAAUGUUCCAUCAUGAGUGGUGGGAAGGCUAUAGAACAUUUGGCUAAACAAGGAAAUAGAUUUCAUUUUGAUAUCAAUCCACCUAUGCAACAGGCUAAAAACUGUGAUUUUUCUUUCUCGGGGCUUCAACAUAUUAUUGAUAAAAUAAUAAUGCAAAAGGAAAAAGAAGAAGGUAUUGAGAAGGGACAAAUCCUGUCUUCGGCUGCAGACAUUGCUGCUGCAGUCCAGCACACAACAGCAUGCCACGUUGCAAAAAGAACACAUCGUGCUAUUCUCUUUUGCAAGCAAAGAGACUUGUUACCUCACAGUAAUGCAGUAGUAGUUGUAUCUGGAGGUGUUGCAAGUAACUUGUAUAUCAGAAGAGCUUUGGAAAUUGUAGCAAAUGCAACACAAUGUACAUUGUUGUGCCCUCCUCCCAGACUGUGCACUGAUAAUGGAAUUAUGAUUGCAUGGAAUGGUAUUGAAAGAUUACGUGUUGGCUUGGGCAUUUUACAUGACACAGAUGGCAUCCGCUAUGAACCAAAAUGUCCUCUUGGAGUAGAUAUAUCAAAAGAAGUUGAAGAAGCUGCUAUAAAAGUACCAUCAUUAAAAAUGAAGAUUUGAUUUUUACUUUCUGAAAUUUUUCUACAGGUGCUCUCCCAAGAAGGAUAAAAGGAAGUAACAGAGAAAAAAGGAAAAGGGAGAAUUAUCAAGCUUAUAUUGGCAAACACAUGUGCCAAAAUUAUAGUACAGCUAAAAGUCCAUUAAUCAGAAAGUUGUAACUCAGACAUAGAAGACAAAGGAAAAAAGAGGCAGUUUGACUAGAGGUAUGAUUGGAGUGAGGUGGAAUAAGCCAAAGGACAUCUUGAUCCACCAGAAGCUGGAAAAGACAAGAAACUGAUUCCCUUCUAGAGUCUUCUGAGGAAAUUAUGCCCAGCUUUGAACCUGAUUUUAAACUUCUAUUCUCCAGAAUCAUAAGAGGAUAAAUGUUGUUUAGAGCCACCAAAUUAUAAAUAAAUAAAUA